GAUGAACGCUGGCGGCGUGCCUAAUACAUGCAAGUCGAGCGAACGGACGAGAAGCUUGCUUCUCUGAUGUUAGCGGCGGACGGGUGAGUAACACGUGGAUAACCUACCUAUAAGACUGGGAUAACUUCGGGAAACCGGAGCUAAUACCGGAUAAUAUUUUGAACCGCAUGGUUCAAAAGUGAAAGACGGUCUUGCUGUCACUUAUAGAUGGAUCCGCGCUGCAUUAGCUAGUUGGUAAGGUAACGGCUUACCAAGGCAACGAUGCAUAGCCGACCUGAGAGGGUGAACGGCCACAUGGAAAAUGAGACAGGUUCCAGACCCCUAGGGGGGGCAGGAGGGGGGAAUCUUCCGCAAUGGGGGAAAGCCUGACGGGGCAACGCCGGGGGGGGGAAGAAGGUUUUCGGAUGGUAAAACUCUUUUAUUAGGGAAGAAAAUAUGUGUAAGUAAAGGGGCAAAUUUGGAGGGUACCAAAUCAGAAAGCAACGGAAAAAUACGU
rnacentral:rRNA from 1 species